ACUGCAAAUCCAACGGUUAAAACAAAUAGCUUCUUGUUAGCCAGGCCAGUAGUGCUUCCCCUAUAAACCCUCGUCCCUCAACUCUCAACCCAUUUUAACCUAAGAUCGCCGAUUCCCUCCUCUCGUUUCGCGGUUCCAUUAUUCGACGCAUUCCAAUGGCUUUGCCGGACCAGAAGACUGUUGAUUAUCCGAGUUUCAAGCUUGUGAUUGUUGGUGAUGGUGGCACUGGAAAAACAACUUUUGUGAAAAGACAUAUCACUGGGGAGUUCGAAAAGAAAUACGAACCAACCAUUGGCGUGGAAGUGCACCCUUUGGACUUCUUCACAAACUGUGGAAAGAUUAGAUUUUACUGCUGGGACACUGCUGGGCAGGAGAAGUUCGGUGGUUUACGGGAUGGCUACUACAUCCAUGGGCAAUGUGCAAUCAUCAUGUUUGAUGUUACUGCCAGAUUGACAUACAAGAAUGUCCCCACAUGGCACCGUGAUCUUUGCAGGGUGUGUGAGAAUAUUCCAAUUGUUCUUUGUGGAAACAAGGUUGAUGUGAAGAACAGGCAGGUGAAGGCCAAGCAAGUCACCUUCCACAGGAAGAAGAACCUACAAUACUAUGAAAUAUCUGCGAAGAGCAACUACAACUUUGAAAAACCAUUCCUGUACUUGGCCAGGAAGUUAGCUGGGGAUGCUAACAUUCAUUUUGUGGAGUCUCCAGCUCUGGCUCCUCCUGAAGUACACAUUGAUUUGGCUGCCCAGCAACAGCAUGAAGCUGAAUUGGCAGCAGCUGCCAGUCAACCUCUUCCUGAUGAUGACGAUGAUGCUUUCGAGUAAAAAUGGUCAAUCAUCUUGUGCUGAUGCCCUUUGCAUAUCUAUUUUCUCCUGUUCCCCGGAGUGAGAUUUUUUUUUUUUUUUUUUUUCUCGCUAGGAUUAACAGAAGGGAAGAGACUAUGUAGGCAGAGAGUAUGGCUGAGGAUUGAAACUUGAAUUUUGAAAAACGUUAGUUUUCCUCCGGGAUGAAAGAAAUUUGUGGUGUAGAUGGUUGGUUUAUAGAGCCACAUGGCCUCCUAUGAAAGUUCAUUAUGCAGAAUUUCUCUAUUUGAUCUUGUGUUUGUCUUUUACUCUUUUCAUCUUUCUUUUGGGGUUAUGUUUUCACUCUAUUUGACGUGUGUGGCUUAUCUCAGAUUAAUUCUUAGACCCCAAAAUUGAUUG